rnacentral:rRNA from 1 species
UUAGGAAUUUUGCGCAAUGGGGGAAACCCUGACGCAGCAACGCCGCGUGAGUGACGAAGGCCUUCGGGUUGUAAAGCUCUUUCGAUAGGGGCGAAAAAAAUGACGGUACCUAUAGAAGAAGCACCGGCUAACCCUGUGCCAGCAGCCGCGGUAAUACAGGGGGUGCAAGCGUUAUUCGGAAUCACUGGGCGUAAAGAGCGCGUAGGCGGUUUGGUAAGUCUGAUGUGAAAGCCCUGGACUCAAUCCAGGAAGUGCAUUGGAUACUGCUAAACUAGAGUAUAGGAGAGGUGAGCGGAAUUCCUGGUGUAGAGGUGAAAUUCGUAGAUAUCAGGAGGAACAACAGCGGCGAAGGCGGCUCACUGGACUAUAACUGACGCUGAGGCGCGAAAGCGUGGGUAGC